rnacentral:rRNA from 1 species
CAGUCGCCACGGGAAUACAGAGGGUGCGAGCGUUAAUCGGAUUUACUGGGCGUAAAGCGUGCGUAGGCGGCUUCUUAAGUCGGAUGUGAAAUCCCCGGGCUCAACCUGGGAACUGCAUCCAAAACUGGCAAGCUAGAGUAUGGUAGAGGGUGGUGGAAUUUCCUGUGUAGCGGUGAAAUGCGUAGAUAUAGGAAGGAACACCAGUGGCGAAGGCGACCACCUGGACUGAUACUGACACUGAGGUGCGAAAGCGUGGGGAGCAAACAGGAUUAGAUACCCCUGUAGUCCCUGUCUCUUAUAC